rnacentral:rRNA from 1 species
AGUGAACGCUGGCGGCAGGCCUAACACAUGCAAGUCGAGCGGCAGCGCGGGGGCAACCCUGGCGGCGAGCGGCGGACGGGUGAGGAAUUCGUCGGAAUCUGCCUUUUUGUGGGGGAUAACGUAGGGAAACUUACGCUAAUACCGCAUACGUCCUACGGGAGGAAGUGGGGGACCGCAAGGCCUCACGCAGAAAGAUGAGCCGACGACCAAUUAGCUAGUUGGUGGGGUAAAGGCCCACCAAGGCGACGAUCGGUAGCUGGUCUGAGAGGAUGAUCAGCCACACUGGGACUGAGACACGGCCCAGACUCCUACGGGAGGCAGCAGUGGGGAAUAUUGGACAAUGGGCGCAAGCCUGAUCCAGCCAUGCCGCGUGUGUGAAGAAGGCCUUCGGGUUGUAAAGCACUUUUGUCCGGAAAGAAAUCCCUGGAGCUAAUACCUUCGGGGGAUGACGGUACCGGAAGAAUAAGCACCGGCUAACUUCGUG